CACAAGCUUGCCAGGUCAUGGCUAUGGCGAUGGCGGAGGAUAAUGGCUUCGAGUUCUUGUCAGAUCCCGUCGACAGGUUUCCCCUGGUGGAUCUGCCCUGCGACGGCGGCAGCCUCCCCCGAAACGAACCCGCUGAAACUCUGGUCUCCACCACGUCCGGGUCGAGUAUGUGCGACGUUGGCGACGUAGCAGUCACAGCAGUAGCCGAUCUGAACAACACUGUUGAUGGGCCGCCCUCUCAGCACCAUUAUCAGAGAAUUCGACAGGCAAAGAUGACCCUCAAGCACCCGGCUGGACAAAAAGGGUACGCGUUGGCAAAGCACCAACUGAGCGCCCCCACUGUGCUGGCAGAAUAAGUGCUCUCAAGAAAGCUCUUAGAGGAUAUGCACAUGAGAAGACAACUACUGUCAUAGUUCCUACUGUCGGGAACACGUUUGAUUCGCUUGGAGAGGCAUACGACUUUUACAAUCUAUAUUCGUGGGAAAUUGGUUUUGGGAUUAGUUACGGCAAAAGCAUGCUAAAUGUGGAGAGAACAAAGUGCAUGCAGGAGAUCGUCUGCGGUUGCUCGAAAACUGCAGGGGGUCCUGAAAAGAAGCAACACACGUUCUUGCCGCUGUAGGUGCCCCGCUAUGAUAAGAUUGCUCCGGUCAAAUGACAAUGGAUGGUACAUAAGUGAGCACAGGGCAUCCCAUAACCACUCUCUCACUGCUAACUGCGGGGAAAAGCUCUAUUGGCCUUCGCACAGACAUAUUGACAUAUACACCCGGGAUGUUGUCAAGCAGCUCCGUGAAAACAACAUAAAUAUUGGCAAGGUUUACAACAUAAUUGGAAGUUUUUCGGCGCAAUGAGUAGUGUGCCGUUUAGCAAAAGAGCAUUGAGGGGCCUGUACAGCCAGAUCAGCAGAGAGCAAGCAGAUGACGACGCCCGGAAGAGAAUGGAUGUUUUUGCACAGUUAUGAGCGAAAGAUGCUGGUCUGUACUACAGGGUUCAGACAGAUGAGGAUAGUCGAAUACGGAAUCUUCUGUGGUCAACCGGAGCCAGCAGAUCACAAUAUCAUUUCUUUGGAGAUGCAAUAACCUUUGACACUACAUACCACACAAAUAUGUAUGACAUGCCUCUUGGGCUAUUUGUGGGAGUAAACAACCAUUUUCAGAGUAUUAUCUUUGUGUUGUCCUAGUCAGGGAUGAAACAGUUGAGACUUUCGAAUGGGUUUUCACAGAAUUCAUCUGUAUGAUGGGCGGCAAACAUCCACAAACAGCGCUCACAGAUCAAUGCAGGGCGAUAGAGCUAGCACUGUAAAAGGUCAUGCCAGAUACAACUCACCGCUGGUGCAAAUGGCACGUCCUCAAGAAUGCAAAGGAGCGACUCGGGCCUUACUACACAGUGGAUGAGUUUGAAACUGCAUGGAAAGAACUGUUAGAAGCGUACAGUUUACAGAAUCACCCAUACCUAACUAACAUAUAUGAAACGAGACAAAAAUGGGCAAAACCAUACUUCAAUGGAAAAUUUUGUGCAAAAAUGACAAGCACACAGCGUAGCAAGAGUGCCAACCAUAUGCUCAAAGGUUAUGUGCCAGCCAGUUGUCCAAUGCACCUGUUCGUGCGUCAGUACAUGCGACUCCUGUUUGACAGGGAGGCAAGUGAAAACUAUGAAGAGAGGCGCACAAAGAUAGUAAGAUUUUGACUCCUCUUGUGUUUUCUGGUCACAUCUGCACGACAUUAUACUAAUGCAACUUCCACCUGUGUGAGACUUCCCCAGUCAUGAAAAUGAACGCACCACUCGAGCUGCACGCCAGUGAGAUCUACGCCUAGGCUAUGUUCGACAAAUUUGGAGAGGUUGUAUAUGAAUCAAUGCAGUACAAAGUAGAAGAGGUCACCAAAGGAGAAACUUACCUCGUUCGCCGAUACCAUCCAGAGAAACAUGAAAAGUGGUGCAGGGUUGUUUAUAAAGUAGUCGUCGAGAAAGAGGGGAAUGAACUAAAGUGCGAGUGUGCUAACUUUGAGCACACAGGUUUGCUCUGGUGCCAUUCAGUCAAGGUCCUCAAUUUCCUUGGCCCGUAUACCAGCAUAGCAUAUUUUGAAACGGUGGACAAAAGACGCAAGGGAUAUUCUGCCAAGCCACCUUCACACCUUCAGAAAGACAACAUUUCUCUGAAUUCAUUUACAUUCAGACACUCAAAUUUGUAUACACAUGCUUUUGAAGUUGUGCGCCUUGGUGAUGCCAAUCCAGAAGCAUAUAACUGUGCCAUGGAUAUUCUGAAGACCGCAAUGGAUACACUGACACCGAUAGCAGCUUUGCAAGAUGAAAUGGGUUUGCAAUCAAGAAUUCAGGCACACAACACGAAAGAAAAGCAGAUUGUUCCCCUACCCGCUGCCUACAGCACGUGUGCGAGUGAUGGGGAAGGUAGUGCGAUUGGUAAUUUCAUGGGUCUGAAGGCUCCAGAACGAAAGCAGAAACCAGGAAGGCCAACAACCAGCAGGGACAAACCACCAUAUGAUGAUCAGAGCGCAAAAAAUAAGAAAUACAAAAACAUACCAAACGGCCAAGCUGCAAAUGGAUGUGGCACAAGUAAGCGCGCUCGCUUCUAUGGUAUAUGCCGAGAACCAGGUCACAAGAGCCCAACAUGCCCCAAAAGAGGUGAUAUGCCUUAGAAGGAGAGGAAAGAAGCGAAAUGUUCCAACUGCGGCGUCGGUGGUCACAGGAAGAACACUUGCAACAAACCGAAGGUGGUGUGGCACGUUGUCGCAAACAAUAUCCUUGAGCCAACUGAUAUGUGUGAGUGAUCGUGUUCAGAUGAAAUGUUUUUGUUCUGUCCUGUUGAGAGCUGAGUAUGAGUCACCUGCAACUCAGAGUAAAAUGCUGGAAAACACUGCCAAACUCCAGUGAUUUGUGAUGUACCUCUAGAACUGUAUUUCCGU